rnacentral:rRNA from 1 species
AAUGAACGCUGGCGGCAGGCCUAACACAUGCAAGUCGAGCGCCCGCAAGGGAGCGGCGGACGGGUGAGUAACGCGUGGGAACGUGCCCUUUGCUACGGAAUAGCCUCGGGAAACUGAGAGUAAUACCGUAUGUGCCCUUCGGGGGAAAGAUUUAUCGGGAAAGGAUCGGCCCGCGUUGGAUUAGGUAGUUGGUGGGGUAAUGGCCUACCAAGCCGACGAUCCAUAGCUGGUUUGAGAGGAUGAUCAGCCACACUGGGACUGAGACACGGCCCAGACUCCUACGGGAGGCAGCAGUGGGGAAUCUUAGACAAUGGGCGCAAGCCUGAUCUAGCCAUGCCGCGUGAGCGAUGAAGGCCUUAGGGUUGUAAAGCUCUUUCGUGGGGGAAGAUAAUGACGGUACCCUAAGAAUAAGCACCGGCUAACUACGUGCCAGCAGCCGCCGUAACAC